rfam:Raoultella planticola strain GCSL-DIFS-295 CFSAN029441_contig0935, whole genome shotgun sequence.
AAUAUGAGUAGAAGCGGUCAGUACGAUUUAUCCGUACGGGACAUUGCUCAGUAA